rnacentral:rRNA from 1 species
GACGAACGCUGGCGGCGUGCUUAACACAUGCAAGUCGAACGGAAAGGCCCUGCUUUUGUGGGGUGCUCGAGUGGCGAACGGGUGAGUAACACGUGAGUAACCUGCCCUUGACUUUGGGAUAACUUCAGGAAACUGGGGCUAAUACCGGAUAGGAGCUCCUGCUGCAUGGUGGGGGUUGGAAAGUGUCGGCGGGUGGGGAUGGACUCGCGGCUUAUCAGCUUGUUGGUGGGGUAGUGGCUUACAAAGGCUUUGACGGGUAGCCGGCCUGAGAGGGUGACCGGCCACGUUGGGACUGAGAUACGGACCAGACUCCUACGGGAGGCAGCAGUGGGGAAUAUUGCAGAAUGGGCGGAAGCGUGAUGCAGCAGCGCCGCGUGCGGGAUGACGGCCUUCGGGGUGUAAACCGAAUUCGCCUGUGACGAAGGGUGAGUGACGGUAAUGGGUAAAGAAGCACCGGCUAACUACGUG